GCAAACUUGGUCAUUUAGAGGAAGUAAAAGUCGUAACAAGGUUUCCGUAGGUGAACCUGCGGAAGGAUCAUUACAGAAAACGGUGGGAGUGUUGAGGCGGCUUGCCCGUCUUACCUCCCGCUUUCUUCUAUCCUUACCCCAAUGUGAACUUCUGCGUGAGCCAGUAGUGAGCUCUAGGGCUCGUGAAAGCUCGCGUGUCUUCUACAUACCCUUUGUAAAGUCUUAGAAUGUCGUCUUGCGUUAACUCGCAUAAAUACAACUUUCAGCAACGGAUCUCUUGGCUCUCGCAUCGAUGAAGAACGCAGC
rnacentral:misc_RNA from 1 species